rnacentral:rRNA from 1 species
CACGUAGGAGACGAGCGUUAUCCGGAUUUACUGGGUGUAAAGCGCGUGCAGGCGGUAUGGUAAGUUGGAUGUGAAAGCUCCUGGCUUAACUGGGAGAGGUCGUACAAGACUGCCAGACUAGAGGACAGCAGAGGGGAGUGGAAUUCCGAGUGUAGCGGUAAAAUGCAUAGAUAUUCGGAAGAACACCAGUGGCGAAGGCGGCUCUCUGGGCUGUACCUGACGCUCAGACGCGAAAGCUAGGGUAGCAAAC